rnacentral:rRNA from 1 species
CCUACGGGCGGCAGCAGUGGGGAAUAUUGCGCAAUGGGCGAAAGCCUGACGCAGCGACGCCGCGUGAGGGAUGACGGUCUUCGGAUCGUAAACCUCUGUCAGCAGGGAAGAACGGUCCCUGUUCUAAUCAGCAGUGAAUUGACGGUACCUGCAAAGGAAGCACCGGCUAACUCCGUGCCAUCAGCCGCGGUAAUACGGAGGGGGCGAGCGUUAAUCGGAAUUACUGGGCGUAAAGCGCUCGUAGGCGGUAUGUCAAGUCAAGGGUGAAAUCCCCGCGCUCAACGUGGGAACUGCCUUUGAAACUGGUAAACUGGAGUGUGUGAGAGGAGAGUGGAAUUCCAGGUGUAGGAGUGAAAUGCGUAGAGAUCUGGAGGAACACCAGUGGCGAAGGCGACUAUCUGGCACAUAACUGACGCUGAGGAGCGAAAGCGUGGGUAGCAAACAGGAUUAGAUACCCGUGUAGUC